rnacentral:sRNA from 1 species
CACAACACACACGCGAGAAACAUUCGAGUAUCUUGUUCCGGAUUUACGAGCAAAUGCCAA